GUGUCAGCAGCCGCGGUAAUACGGAGGAUCCAAGCGUUAUCCGGAUUUAUUGGGUUUAAAGGGUGCGUAGGCGGCUUAUUAAGUCAGGGGUGAAAGACGGUGGCUCAACCAUCGCAGUGCCCUUGAUACUGAUGAGCUUGAAUGAACUAGAGGUAGGCGGAAUGUGACAAGUAGCGGUGAAAUGCAUAGAUAUGUCACAGAACACCGAUUGCGAAGGCAGCUUACUAUGGUUUUAUUGACGCUGAGGCACGAAAGCGUGGGGAUCAAACAGGAUUAGAAACCCUCGUAGUCC
rnacentral:rRNA from 1 species